UACGAAGGGGGCUAGCGUUGUUCGGAAUUACUGGGCGUAAAGCGCGCGCAGGCGGUCUUCCAAGUCAGUGGUGAAAGCCCGGAGCUCAACUCCGGAACUGCCAUUGAAACUGUUAGACUUGAGGAUGAGAGAGGUGAGUGGAAUUCCCAGUGUAGAGGUGAAAUUCGUAGAUAUUGGGAAGAACACCGGUGGCGAAGGCGGCUCACUGGCUCAGUUACUGACGCUCAGGCGCGAUAGCGUGGGGAUCAAACAGG
rnacentral:rRNA from 1 species